rnacentral:rRNA from 1 species
GACGAACGCUGGCGGCGUGCUUAACACAUGCAAGUCGAACGGAAAGGCCCUGCUUUUGUGGGGUGCUCGAGUGGCGAACGGGUGAGUAACACGUGAGUAACCUGCCCUUGACUUUGGGAUAACUUCAGGAAACUGGGGCUAAUACCGGAUAGGAGCUCCUGCUGCAUGGUGGGGGUUGGAAAGUUUCGGCGGUUGGGGAUGGACUCGCGGCUUAUCAGCUUGUUGGUGGGGUAGUGGCUUACCAAGGCUUUGACGGGUAGCCGGCCUGAGAGGGUGACCGGCCAAAUUGGGACUGAGAGACGGCCCAGACUCCUACGGGAGGCAGCAGUGGGGAAUAUUGCACAAUGGGCGGAAGCCUGAUGCAGCAACGCCGCGUGCGGGAUGACGGCCUUCGGGUUGUAAACCGCUUUCGCCUGUGACGAAGCGUGAGUGACGGUAAUGGGUAAAGAAGCACCGGCUAACUACGUG